AACGAACGCUGGCGGCAUGCCUAACACAUGCAAGUCGAACGAAGCCUUCGGGCUUAGUGGCGCACGGGUGCGUAACGCGUGGGAAUCUGCCCUUGGGUUCGGAAUAACAGUUAGAAAUGACUGCUAAUACCGGAGGAUGUAUUCGGACCAAAGAUUUAUCGCCCAAGGAUGAGCCCGCGUCGGAUGAGCUAGUUGGUGAGGUAAAGGCUCACCAAGGCGACGAUCCGUAGCUGGUCUGAGAGGAUGAUCAGCCACACUGGGACUGAGACACGGCCAGACUCCUACGGGAGGCAGCAGUGGGGAAUAUUGGACAAUGGGCGAAAGCCUGAUCCAGCAAUGCCGCGUGAGUGAUGAAGGCCUUAGGGUUGUAAAGCUCUUUUACCCGGGAUGAUAAUGACAGUACCGGGAGAAUAAGCCCCGGCUAACUCCGUGCCAGCCGCCGCGGUAACAC
rnacentral:rRNA from 1 species